GACAGAGGGGGCAAGCGUUGCUCGGAAUCACUGGGCGUAAAGGGCGCGUAGGCGGCACAGCAAGUCGGGAGUGAAAGCCCGGGGCUCAACCCCGGAAUGGCUUUCGAAACUGCUGAGCUAGAGUACAGAAGGGGCAACCGGAAUUCCCAGUGUAGCGGUGAAAUGCGUAGAUAUUGGGAAGAACACCUGAGGCGAAGGCGGGUUGCUGGGCUGAUACUGACGCUGAGGCGCGAAAGCCAGGGGAGCAAACGGG
rnacentral:rRNA from 1 species